rnacentral:rRNA from 1 species
UCAAGAAACUUCCACAAUGGGCGAAAGCCUGAUGGAGCGACGUCGCGUGAUGGACGAAGUGCUUCGGCACGUAAACAUCUUUUAUGUGGGAUGAAAUUAUUGACAGUACCACAUGAAUAAGGGGCUCCUAACUCUGUGCCAGCAGGAGCGGUAAUACAGAGGCCCCAAGCGUUAUCCGGAAUCACUGGGCGUAAAGGGUGUCGAGGCGGUUGUAUUAGUCGUUCGUAAAAUCUACGAGCUUAACUUGUAGGCGGCGAACGAAACGGUACGACUUGAGGUUUGGAGAGGUGCGUGGAACUCACGGUGUAGGGGUGAAAUCCGUUGAUAUCGUGGGGAACACCAAAGGCGAAGGCAGCGCACUGGCCAAAAUCUGACGCUCACACACGAAAGCUAGGGUAGCGAAGAGGAUUAGAUACCCCCGUAGUCCCUGAGCGGG